rnacentral:rRNA from 1 species
UACGUAGGCGGCAAGCGUUGUCCGGAUUUACUGGGCGUAAAGAGCGCGCAGGCGGUUGAUUAAGUCGAAUGUGAAAGCCCCCGGCUCAACUGGGGAGGGUCAUUCGAUACUGAUCGACUUGAAGGCAGGAGAGAGAAGUGGAAUUCCCGGUGUAGUGGUGAAAUGCGUAGAUAUCGGGAGGAACACCAGUGGCGAAGGCGGGUCUCUGGGCCGUAACUGACGCUGAGGAGCGAAAGCAUGGGGAGCGAACGGG